CCCUCGCUUGAGCCCAGUCCAAGAUGAAAGUUUUCUGGGCUGUUUCCCUCUGCUUCCUCCUCUCACCCUCGCUCCCCCUCGGAGGAGCCGCAGAGCCAGCAAUUGUGCAAGAGGAGCCGCCGAACGCGCAGGACGCGUAUCACGGAGCGCAUGGUACGAGCCGCCGGCCCGGUGAUUAAUGAUCAGUAGCCGCUGGCCCCGCACUAACACCUAGGCUUUCCGGGCAGAGCCAGCACACCCCGCCGCCGCUGCCAGCUCGGCCGGACCGAGGAGAGGCUCUGGGGAGGACGCCGAGGCUGCUCCGGAGUGAGCCCUUAGGGGAACCAGGAAGUCACCCUGCCAUUCCAGUAACACAGUCAUGACAAAAUUAGAGCCCAACUAGGAAGUGAUCAAUUUUUUUUUUUUUUUUGGUACAUGUUAAGAAAGAAAAACAGCAGAAACAAAAGUGCACAUAACAAUUCAAGAUUUCUUUAAAAAAAAAAAAAAAGAAGAAGAAAAGAAAGUAACUUACCUGUUGGGACAUUCUGAAUAAAAGACACACGGAGAGAUACACACACACUUCUGCCCUCUCCGAGCAGCGCCACUCCCACGGACAGACCGACAGCACACGGGGUGAGGAGGAGCGGGGGCCCUUCCCUGGGAAUUCCCCCCAACAAUGCUUUCAGGUUAAAGAACUGCAAAUACUAAAGGCUAUGUGUUGGCUGAUAGUGAGAGAUGUACCGUGGAAAUUAAGGAGGACACCAACCAGGUCUAAAUGGCACCCAUGACAGUCAAGACAAUAUGGGAAUGGGAAUGCCUCCACCUCAUCAGAACUCAUACACAGAUUAAGAAACUCCCAUGCAGUCUACAGUGUUAAAAUAGACUGGAGAACUGAAGGAAAAGGUGACAUUUUGAAAGUGAUUUCUGAUGUUUAUGAUGUUUAACAUUUAAACUGUAUUUUCCCAGAACUUCAGUAAAAUCCAACUUAUUGAUUGUUGCAAAUAAACAUCUUCUUACUUUGGAGCUGAUACUUGCUAAGCAUUUCAUAGCGCAAAUUGAGUAAUCUGUUCAAAAAAAAAUGUUAGCCAUAUGUAUUCUAAACCUAUACUACAGAUGCUGAUGUUUUGGGUAAUAAUUAAAAGUUGUAAUUACAGAGAA